rnacentral:rRNA from 1 species
UACGUAGGGGGCAAGCGUUGUCCGGAUUUAUUGGGCGUAAAGAGCGUGUAGGCGGCCAGGUAGGUCUGCUGUGAAAACUCGAGGCUCAACCUCGAGACGUCGGCGGAAACCAUCUGGCUAGAGUCCGGAAGAGGAGAGUGGAAUUCCUGGUGUAGCGGUGAAAUGCGCAGAUAUCAGGAAGAACACCGGUGGCGAAGGCGGCUCUCUGGGACGGUACUGGCGCUGAGACGCGAAAGCGUGGGGAGCGAACAGG